UGGGGAAUUUUGGACAAUGGGGGCAACCCUGAUCCAGCAAUGCCGCGUGAGUGAAGAAGGCCUUCGGGUUGUAAAGCUCUUUUGUCAGGGAAGAAACGGUAGUAGCGAAUAACUAUUACUAAUGACGGUACCUGAAGAAUAAGCACCGGCUAACUACGUGCCAGCAGCCGCGGUAAUAUGUAGGGUGCAAGCGUUAAUCGGAAUUACUGGGCGUAAAGCGUGCGCAGGCGGUUGUGUAAGUCAGAUGUGAAAUCCCCGGGCUCAACCUGGGAAUUGCAUUUGAGACUGCACGGCUAGAGUGUGUCAGAGGGGGGUAGAAUUCCACGUGUAGCAGUGAAAUGCGUAGAUAUGUGGAGGAACACCGAUGGCGAAGGCAGCCCCCUGGGUUAACACUGACGCUCAUGCACGAAAGCGUGGGGAGCAAACAGGAUUAGAUACCCCAGUAGUCCCUGAGCGGGCUGGCAAGGCGCAU
rnacentral:rRNA from 1 species